rnacentral:lncRNA from 10 species
GUUUCCUCACUACCAUGACAUCUGAACAGAAGGAGAAAACAUCUCCCUUUUGUAGCAGGCUAAUUUAAUUUGUACCUUCCACCUAGGGGUAAAUAUGUUUGUCUGUCUGUCUGAGCUUUUUGCCCACUUUCUUUUCUCACGGGAAACCCUUCUGAGUAGAAAGCAGGAAAUUGCUUACUGCUCUAACUUUAUUUUAAAGUAAUUUAAUUUUAAGCCUUCUCACAUCCACCCUAAAGUGAAGCAACUGUUGGAACUCCCUCGGGAUACCCUUAAUGACUUCUGCAUGUCUCCUGUGUCACAGAUGUCAAAGGCUUGUUGUUUCCAAGGAAUCUUCCCCUGGGACCAGAUAAAGUGCCAAGAAAAGGUGUGUGGCAUCAGGAGUGAGGACAAACUCUGAGAGUCCUCUGCAGUGCUUAUCACAGACAGAGAGGAAACCAUCCACCCACUGGUACUCAAGGAAGAGGAAGAGAAGAGAGGGAAGUCUCUGGAUUGCUUUUGACCAGAGAAGUGAGGCUGGAUUGAAAAGAGCUGACAAGAGCAAAUUCCUUAUAAGUCUAUUGAAACAGGCAUGGAUCAAACAAUCACAGAGACAAUAUCAUUAUGAACUACAAGAAGUGCUUUCAGUGUAGUAAGUGAAGCCACUUUGUAACAAGAGUCUUGGUAAAAGUCCUAGUUCACUCUGUCUUUAUCUGAAUUUCACUUGUUCAUUACUAGCCUUAUUGUGAAAUACUAACAUAUGUACAAUUUUUCACCUUCCUUACAAGGGAAUUGAGAUUACUGUGAGUUUAUUAAUGACUCUGAUGCCCUCAGAGGGAGGUUCAAAGUAUUGCAAACAAGGGAUAUGAGAAAAUGAUUUUCUC